rnacentral:rRNA from 1 species
GACAGAGGGUGCAAGCGUUGUUCGGAUUUACUGGGCGUAAAGCGCGUGUAGGCGGCUUUGCAAGUCGGAUGUGAAAUCCCACGGCUCAACCGUGGAAGUGCAUCCGAAACUGCAUCGCUGGAGUCUCGGAGAGGAAGGUGGAAUGCUUGGUGUAGAGGUGAAAUUCGUAGAUAUCAAGCAGAACACCUGCGGCGAAGGCGGCCUUCUGGACGAUGACUGACGCUGAGACGCGAAAGCGUGGGGAGCAAACAGG